CCCACCCCCGCGCUCCCCACCCCCAGCCCCCGGCGCCCCGCCUCUCCCGGCCCUAAUGACAACUAUUAGAACUGCCUCCCCGCACCCACCGCCCGGCGAGCACAAAAGCGCGAGAUUCAUUUGGUAAUCGGGGUAAUUACAGCGGGGCGCGGGGGCGCACGCGGCGAUGGCGGGCGCGCCGGCGGAAUGCUAAGGGGCCGGGCGCGCCGCCCGUUCCCGCCCCGCCGCCCUCCCCGCCCGGCCCCUCGCCCGCGCGGCGCCCGGGGCCACGUCGCCCCGCCGGCCGCCCGCGCCCUGCCCCCACCCCGGGCCGCGGGAAGGGGGCCGCCCGGGGGCUCCGGGGCGCGGGACGGAAAGCCCCCCCCCCUUCUCCAGCAACCCCCCUCCCCCCCCCGCCCGGCUGGCCGGCGGCCUCGGCGGCGCUCCGGACAAGAUUUGCCACGUCCGGGAGCCGGAGAGCCCCGCCGAGGUCCGCACGCAUAAUAAAUACCGUGUGUAAUGUAUUUACUCUGCUGCCCCCGGUUAAUUUACACACCCGCGCCGCGCCGUGCGCCCUCCCCCGCGCGCGCCCCGGCCUGUCGUUCCUAUUUACAGGCGCGAGGCGCCGUCCCUCGAGAGGGCUUUUUUUUUUUUUUUUCUUUUUCUUUUUCUUUCUUUCUUUCUUUCUUUUUUUUUUUUUUAGAGCUUUAGGAUGGAUGCAACGUGUCAUUAAACCUGAAAGGGGCUGUUACUUAUCAGUAAUGGUGUUUUCCACAGGCCUUUCUCCUCACCUGCACGGGCACAGAACGCUUGCUGAAUGGCCACUCUGAGCAUGAGUCUGAGAACCGAAUGCCGACCGCUGCAGAUCCGAACAUUGAAUCAAAGACUCCCCAGACUGGCUUCCGCCUGGGGCCAAGGUUGUUGCUGUGCCCAGUUUGAGCCGGACAAGCAAGAAGGAGCAAAGCUCUGCAACCAGGUGGAUGCGGGUUCAGACCUACCUUCGUUUCCGAGCCGUUUUGGCUUCAUUUGCUCUCAUUUGCACCUUCUUCAUCAGAAAUGCUCGAUGAGGGGCGCCUGGGUGGCUCCGUCGGUCAAGCGUCCGACUUCGGCUCAGGUCAUGAUCUCGCGGUCCAUGGGUUCGAGCCCCGCGUCGGGCUCUGGGCUGACGGCUCGGAGCCUGGAGCCCGCUCCGGAUUCUGGGUCUCCCUCUCUCUCUGCCCCUCCCCCCGCUCGCGCUCUGCCCGUGUCUCUCUCAAAAAUAAAUAAACAUGUUUUAGAAAAGGUAAAAAUUGU
rnacentral:lncRNA from 1 species